GAUGAACGCUGGCGGCGUGCUUAACACAUGCAAGUCGAACGGAAAGGCUCCUGCUUGCAGGGGUACUCGAGUGGCGAACGGGUGAGUAACACGUGGGUGAUCUGCCCUGCACUUCGGGAUAAGCCUGGGAAACUGGGUCUAAUACCGGAUAGGACGAUGGUUUGGAUGCCAUUGUGGAAAGUUUUUUCGGUGUGGGAUGAGCUCGCGGCCUAUCAGCUUGCUGGUGGGGUAAUGGCCUACCAAGGCGUCGACGGGUAGCCGGCCUGAGAGGGUGUACGGCCACAUUGGGACUGAGAUACGGCCCAGACUCCUACGGGAGGCAGCAGUGGGGAAUAUUGCACAAUGGGCGCAAGCCUGAUGCAGCGACGCCGCGUGGGGGAUGACGGCCUUCGGGUUGUAAACUCCUUUCGCUAGGGACGAAGCGCAAGUGACGGUACCCGGAGAAGAAGCACCGGCUAACUACGUG
rnacentral:rRNA from 1 species